rnacentral:lncRNA from 1 species
AUAGCCUAUCAGAAAAAGCCCUCAUCUCAAUAUGAAGCCCAUCAACUCUAUCAGAUAGAGCUCUUACAUCAGCACUAACUCUCAUCAAGAUCAGAUCAGCUAACCUCUCAAGAAAUGCUAUAUCUAGAGUUGCAGGAGGAGGAGUGGAAGCUGGAGGUGCAGCAGGUGAUGCAAGUGAUGCCAGAGCUAAGGUAGGUACGGAUGAAGGAGGGGAGAAGGAUGAAGGUACAGGAGCAGCAAGAGUAGAAGGUUCUCUUGCCUCUGCUACUCUCCAACUCUUCUAACCUGAAACCUUCUUAACCCACCUACCCCCAAC